CCUACGGGUGGCUGCAGUGAGGAAUAUUGGUCAAUGGACGCAAGACUGAACCAGCCAAGCCGCGUGAAGGAAGACGGCUCUAUGAGUUGUAAACUGCUUUUGUACGAGGGUAAACGCAGAUACGCGUAUCUGUCUGAAAGUAUCGUACGAAUAAGGAUCGGCUAACUCCGUGCCAGCAGCCGCGGUAAUACGGAGGAUUCAAGCGUUAUCCGGAUUUAUUGGGUUUAAAGGGUGCGUAGGCGGUCUGUUAAGUUAGAGGUGAAAUCCCGCGGCUCAACUUCGGAAUUGCCUUUGAUACUGUCCGGCUAGAGUGUAGUUGCGGUAGGCGGAAUGUAUGGUGUAGCGGUGAAAUGCUUAGAGAUCACACAGAACACCGAUUGCGAAGGCAGCUUACCAGGCUACUUCUGACGUUGAGGCACGAAAGCGUGGGUAGCAAACAGGAUUAGAUACCCGGGUAGUC
rnacentral:rRNA from 1 species